GGCUAGAGCUGGAGGAGGAUGGAUAGUGCACCUGGCUGGAGGAGCGACAGUGCCUUGGACAAAGCAGUGCUGGCAAAGGCCAGGGGGAAUGCAAAGGAGUUUUGGGCUGGCUGCUGGGAAUCAACAAGGCCCUAAGUUUUACAGUUUCCAAAUGAUCCAAGUUGGAAGAAGAUUGGGCCCUUAAAGAGGAGUUCUGCUGUAAAGACUGACAUUGUGGUGGUCCAUGUUUAAUUGUCUCAGGAAUAAUUUCACAAAGAAAUAGAAACAUGUGGCCAGAAUCUCAGCUGACCUAAACAGAAUAGGUUUGUUUUCAAUGGAACUAUACUAAUUAACACCA